CAUUUCAAUUAAGGGGACUCUCCGGGAUAUUACCAAAGCGUGAUUGCACCCAUAGAAAUGAAGCAAGUGUUACUUGUUUUAGUCAGAAGCACUGGUGGCCAAAGGAGAGGGUACAUGUGCUUGGGGCCUGUUUAGUGUUACUCUUGGAUCCUUUGAGCUAUGGGUUCUGGACUGCAAGGAGGGUUUGUGCUGCUUUGGGACAGAUGAGAACUUUCUGGGCUUUCUUUUGCAUUAGCUGCAGAGAAGGUUCUGUUACUAUGCAUAAAUUCACAGACCCACCUAGAGCGGCUGCUAUUGUGAUGUCAGCGGUGGGCUGCCACGUCACAGCGUGGUCAGGGGGAGGUUGCCCUGGUGCACGCACAGCGUCAGCGUCCAGAGCGGCUCUUGGCGUGCUCGUUGCAGGAGGACCCUGUGUUGAGGAGUUCUCAGGCAACACUCUGUGCCCUGGAAAGGGAAUCUUUUUCUUUUGCCUGCCGUUGUACGAGUCUGUGGACUCGUGUAGGCAUCCUUUUGUUUUCCCCUACGGUUGUAGGGUUUGCAGACACGUACAGGUGUCUUUGCUUUUUCUUUUUUCGUUCUACGAACUGCAGCUUGUGCAGGUGUCUUUUGGUUUUUCUUUUCUUAUACAGUCAGCGGAUUGCUGCGUGUGCCUUUUUUUUUCUCAUUUCCUUGCAAAAUCUAUGCAAGUAGGAUUUUUCCAUUUGUGUUUUCUGGCCUGCGGACUCGAGCAGCCCUGCUGAAACAAUGGAACAAUUCCGCAGUGCUGUCGGCAGGGCUUUUGCAUCAGUAUCAUCCUGCAAAAUGUUCAAAGGCCUGAGACGUUGUCUCAAACGUGGAAGGAAUCAAGUCCGUGGUUUGAGCAGCACACCAGCAGCAGAACCUCCUGUGGCUCGCCCUGUGCCUCCAGAGGCUGAAGGGGAGGCAAAGGA